rnacentral:misc_RNA from 1 species
UUAGAAUUCAUUGGUACAACAAAAUUAGGUGGCUGAAUGGGAUGCAUAGGUGGGUAUUCAGGCAUUGAGGUCUCAGAUAAAAUUCCUUGCUGCUUGUCUGAAAAGUGGUUGGAUUCUUGUUGGGGGCCACCCUCUAUGCUUUGUUGGAAAUGACUGUGGAUGCCAGGGGGACGACUGUUGUCUGGCUGGAGGUCUGCAGGAUAAUUUUGAGCUUGACCAAAAAAAUGGUGGUCUUGGUUGCAUCAUUGCCCUAGAUAGUUGUUCUCUAGGCUGCUGUCUACGAGCUUUGUCUUCAGAAUCAAGAAACUGA